rnacentral:rRNA from 1 species
AUAUCAAUAAGCGGAGGAAAAGAAACCAACAGGGAUUGCCCCAGUAACGGCGAGUGAAGCGGCAACAGCUCAAAUUUGAAAUCUGGCCCCUCCGGGUCCGAGUUGUAAUUUGUAGAGGAUGCUUUUGGUGAGGUGCCGCCCGAGUUCCCUGGAACGGGACGCCACAGAGGGUGAGAGCCCCGUCUGGCUGGCCGCCGAACCUAUGUAAAGCUCCUUCGACGAGUCGAGUAGUUUGGGAAUGCUGCUCAAAAUGGGAGGUAUAUGUCUUCUAAAGCUAAAUACUGGCCAGAGACCGAUAGCGCACAAGUAGAGUGAUCGAAAGAUGAAAAGCACCUUGAAAAGAGGGUUAAAUAGUACGUGAAAUUGUUGAAAGGGAAGCGCUUGUGACCAGACUUGGGCGCGGCGGAUCAUCCGGGGUUCUCCCCGGUGCACUUCGCCGCGUCCAGGCCAGCAUCAGUUCGUCGCGGGGGAAAAAGGCUUCGGGAACGUGGCUCCUCCGGGAGUGUUAUAGCCCGUUGCAUAAUACCCUGCGGUGGACUGAGGACCGCGCAUCUGCAAGGAUGCUGGCGUAAUGGUCACCAGCGACCCGUCUUGAAACACGGACCAAGGAGUCGUCUUCGUAUGCGAGUGUUCGGGUGUCAAACCCCUACGCGUAAUGAAAGUGAACGCAGGUGAGAGCUUCGGCGCAUCAUCGACCGAUCCUGAUGUUCUCGGAUGGAUUUGAGUAAGAGCAUACGGGGCCGGACCCGAAAGAAGGUGAACUAUGCCUGUAUAGGGUGAAGCCAGAGGAAACUCUGGUGGAGGCUCGCAGCGGUUCUGACGUGCAAAUCGAUCGUCAAAUAUGGGCAUGGGGGCGAAAGACUAAUCGAACCUUCUAGUAGCUGGUUUCCGC